rnacentral:sRNA from 1 species
UUGCUGAGAAUCAUAGUGAGCCAACUGC